AAAGCUUUGUCUCUGUCACUUUUCAUGCGUGUCUUCUUCUUCUUCAAUUAUUCUCUCCAUCAGUCUUUUUGAGUUCUUGACAGAGGCAUUGUACAUGUACAUGCUGCAGGUGCAAGUGAAGGCAGGAUCUUUGACAGCGAAAGCCAUUUCCUUGCUGGGAUUUGGUGGAGGAAGUUGUUGGAAGCACUCCAAGAGAACGUCAAGGGUAAAUUCUUUUCUCCAGACACCAAUUUUAUGUUUUGUGUGGUUGAUGUUCUGGCUGGUGUGUUCUUUGCGUGGCUUAUUUUGAGGCCAUUUGUUGUGCUGAGGUGGAGAGGAAGGCAGAAGGUAGGAAGCUGCUAGUGGGAACUGCUGUUGAACUUUGGAGUAGAUCGAUGAUAUUAUACUCCACCGAUUGGUCAUACACUCGUUGAUACACAUGUAUAGUAUACGAGAUUGCGACCGCUCAGGGAUCUCCACAGCUCCAUGGCGACAGAGGUAAAAGAGACACUGCAAAAAAAAA